UGGGGUCCGAGGUCUGCGGGGCACCGGAUGAGGCUCCGAGCACGACGCAGUCCAAGGGAGGGUCCGGGCUCGGUGCAGCCCCCGGGACGGAUCGGUGCAGCCCGGGGCGGGGGGCGGGGGGGUCUGGGCUCGCUGCGGGCUCCGGAGCAGGGUCGCUGGAGGGCGGCUGUUGUCCGGGCUCAGCGCGGCUCUGGGGAGGCGGCUCUUCCGCCCUCCUUGGCCGAGAGCGAGUGGCCGCGUGGCCCCGGCUGCCCGCGCGGCCCUGGCCCAUCGUGGCCUCGGGGAGAGGGGCGCCAGCCUAGAUUCCGGUGAGUGAACCUUGCGUCACGAGGGGCUGUGUGGGGCCCGAAAAGAGCGUCGAGGCGGGCCGGUGAGAAGUACGCAGGAUACGCAGUCCUGCUGGUUAAAGGGACAAUUAUUUGUUUGUUGGCAAAAGCAUUUUACACCGUUUUUGUUUCCAGUGGGUCGGAGGAAGACGGUUGAUUCCCGAGGGGUAGGAUGGGCCGUUGAUGCGUCGGCUGACUUUCCCACACCAGAUCAGCGUGUUCACCUCUGGAGAACUCAGGGCCCAGAGAAAAUCAGGAAAACCUCAAUCAUGAGAAAGACAUCACACCCAAAUUGAGAGACGUUCUACCACACACCUGACUGGUGGUCCUCACGAGUCUCAAGGUCAUGAAAGACCAAGAAAGACAGGAUUGGAGGAGAGCGAGGAGACACAACAGGACAGUUCAAUACAGUUGGCUCUCCUGGGUCAGCUUCGGGACCAGAGAACGGACGUUAGUGGGAAAACUGGUGGAUUCAGACGUUCAGGAAACGCGACCACGGAUUGGUGUAUAAAGCAAAUGUCAACUUUCGAGGACGCGAACGAUCCCGCACACUCUAACGUGCUCAGCCUGCACAGAUCAAUCAUCCCCUCCGACUAGACAGGUCAGGAGGGGCUGGUGAUCCCCACAUCCUCCCCCGGCACCCCGCCCCCGUCACAAGGAAGUGACCAAGUACCAAGGCUGAGUAAGCACUAACCAGGCGAGAGGGCGAGUGAGAACGGAGGUGGGGAAGGUGAGAGGGUCUUCUAGGAAGAGACAACCGUGUGUGCACAGGCCCGAAAGGGAAAAACCCCGAGACGUUUAGAGGAACUGAAAGAUGGCCAGAAAUUCUCCCCAGCAAAGAGCCGGGAGGACAGAGGGGUGACAUAAGGCUAGACGACACAGGGUUCUUUUGAUUUGCCUCUGUGUGUUUCAGCGAACCUCUUGAAAGGUUAAGUUGACAUAAAGGGUACAGUGGCAAUAGAGAGACCUCCCGUAAACUCUCCCGCGCCCUCCCAGAGGCAACGCCGGACACCCCGCGGGACUUUUGUUGAGACUGAGAAGCCAGCAUGGGCAUGUUGCUGCCAACUGAACUCCACACUUCAUCUGGGUCAGUUUUUCCACUGAUGCCCGUGCUCUGUGCCAGGGUCCCGUCCGGGACCCUGUGUUUAGCGACCGUGUCUUCACAGCUCACCUUGUCUGCCCCCACCCCUCACGCUUCCCUCGUUUUUUGAUGACCUAGUCAGUUCUGGGGAGUCACUGGUCAGGGACUCUGUACACUGUCCCUCAAGUUGCGAUUGACGUUUGCCCGGGGCCGUGGGCUUGGGGAAGAACGCCACGGAGAUUUCGUGCCCUUUUUAUGAAGAUACCAAAGGUUCGUGCUAUCAACACAGCUGGUCGCUGGUGAUGUCACUGGCGAUCACCUGGCCAGCCUCCUCCCUGGUACCUUUGUUUCUCCUUCCUACGCUCUGUUCUUGAGCGUGAGUCCAGCCCACACUCAAGUGAAGAGAAAGAAUGACCCCGGGUUUGGUGGCAGAAUCUGAGUUCCUAGGAGCCAUGAGGAGCCACCGGGCGAUUUUAAGCAGAGGGGUGACGCUGCAUCCACAUUUCAGAUGAGUCUGCCACCUGCACUGAAUCCACCAGAGGGGGCCCGCGAUGGAUUAGGGUCACAUCCACUGGAGCAGCGGUCCGCGUGGAGGUGCGGGUGGCUUGCAUUAGUGUAGGAGGGAAGGGGCUAGAAGGACAGGCCAGCAUGGCUCGAGAGAGAUUUAAGAGGUAGAGUGGCCAGGACUCGGUUACUCUUUGGUUGGAGAACAGGAAUGGAGGGCAAGGAAGGUUCAAGAAUGACUCCCAGAAACCGGGUUCACGGUUUCAGCAGCUGGUUGAACAUCGACGAGGCUGAAGACAAAAGGACACAGUCAGCAGGCAGGCAGAUCUCCGAGGGCUCCCUAGCGGAGGCAGCCCCAGGGCUCUGGGGGGCAAGGGUAUGCUGUUGUUCAAAUGCCCCUGCUGAACUCCGGAGGCAUUGUUCUCCUGCGUGUCCGUGGCUAUCUGGCGGGCUCUGUACGCUGGGUAGCACCCGUUGACCAUAAGAGAGCCUCGUCUACGUAAGUAAAGCUUUGACUGUCUUCCUCGUUUACUCCACAUCUCUGAGAAUACGACAAUUCAGCAGCCAUACACAGCAUCCCCAUCAAGGAGUCUGUGGGCUUGUGGGGGAGCCCCGUGAUAGAACCCUCGGCAUCUGUGUGUCCCCAAGUCCCACCCUCGGGAGCCACAUGGCAUCCAAGGCAGAAAUCAGUAGACUGAGAAGGGCGUGUCAGACUCCACCACGGGCAAGAGGGUGCCUGGCACAGCAGGGAUGAACUCAGGCAGUUCGCGGGCCAGGCGGGCUGUGGAAGGCCACGGGCGCCAUCAUAAGAAUGUUCUAAGGAUUUCGGCUUCUCCUCGGAGCGAGGUGGAAAGCACUGGAGAGUUUCGAGUGGAGAGGAACCAUAUAUCAUCUUACAUUUUUCUUUUUCUUUUUAUUGAAGUACAGUUAACACACAGUGUCACGUUAGUUUCAGGUGCGCAACAGACUGAUUCAACUUCUCCAUCCAUUACAAGGCAUACCUACCAUCUGUCACCGUGCAACACUGUUACAAUGCCACUGACUAUACUCUCCAUGCUGUACCUUUCGUCCUCAUGGCUUAUCCACUCAAGUUAUCUUACAUUGUUUUUUUAAACAUUGAUUUAGGGGCACCUGCGUGGCUCAGUCGGUUAAGCGGCCAACUUCGGCUCAGG